GACGCGACCUCAGCUCAGGCGGGGCUACCCGCUGAGUUUAAGCAUAUCAAUAAGCGGAGGAAA
rnacentral:rRNA from 2 species